rnacentral:rRNA from 1 species
GAUGAACGCUGGCGGCGUGCCUAAUACAUGCAAGUCGAGCGAACAGAUAAGGAGCUUGCUCCUUUGACGUUAGCGGCGGACGGGUGAGUAACACGUGGGUCACCUACCUAUAAGACUGGAAUAACGCCGGGAAACCGGGGCUAAUGCCGGAUAACAUUUAGAACCGCAUGGUUCUAAAGUGAAAGAUGGUUUUGCUAUCACUUAUAGGUGGCCCCGGGCCGUAUUAGCUAGUUGGUAAGGUAACGGCUUACCAAGGCAACGAUACGUAGCCGACCUGAGAGGGUGAUCGGCCACACUGAAACGGAGACACGGUCCAGACUCCUACGGGAGGCAGCAGUAGGGAAUCUUCCGCAAUGGGCGAAAGCCUGACGGAGCAACGCCGCGUGAGUGAUGAAGGGUUUCGGCUCGUAAAACUCUGUUAUUAGGGAAGAACAAACGUGUAAGUAACUGUGCACGUCUUGACGGUACCUAAUCAGAAAGCCACGGCUAACUACGUGCCAGCCGCCGCGGUAAUAC